rnacentral:rRNA from 1 species
AAUGAACGCUGGCGGCAGGCCUAACACAUGCAAGUCGAGCGAGCGGCGGACGGGCGAGUAAUGUAUGGGGACUGCCCGAUAGAGGGGGAUAACUACUGGAAACGGUGGCUAAUACCGCAUACUAUCGGAUAACCCAUAUGGGAGUAGCUAGUAGGUGGGGUAAAGGCUAACCUAGGCGACGAUCUCUAGCUGGUCUGCGAGGAUGAUGAGCCAAACUGGGACUGAGACACGGACCAAACUCGUAGGGAGGCAGCAGUGGGGAAGAUUGCACAAUGGGCGCAAGCCUGAUGCAGCCAUGCCGCGUGUAUGAAGAAGGCCUUAGGGUUGUAAAGUUCUAUCAGCGGGGAGGCGUUACCCGGAGAAGAAGCGCCGGCUAACUCCGUGCCAGCAGCCGCGGUAAUAC